UACGUAGGGUGCAAGCGUUGUCCGGAAUUAUUGGGCGUAAAGAGCUCGUAGGCGGUCUGUCGCGUCUGCUGUGAAAACUCAGGGCUUAACCCUGAGCUUGCAGUGGGUACGGGCAGACUAGAGUGCGGUGGGGGAGACUGGAAUUCCUGGUGUAGCGGUGAAAUGCGCAGAUAUCAGGAGGAACACCGGUGGCGAAGGCGGGUC
rnacentral:rRNA from 1 species